rnacentral:lncRNA from 1 species
ACCCAUUGAUAUGGAUAUUUUCGCUUUCUUCCCUUCAUCCCUUUAUUCAUCAAUAUCAAUUCUCUUAUUUUCUUCGAUCUUCAUAUAUGCCCUGCGAUGGAUGAAAACAUCCAAGGCUGCCCCUAACCUUCCCCCUAGCCCUCCUAAGCUUCCGAUAAUAGGAAACUUGCAUCAAGUGAUAGGUAAAAACUUCCAUCAGAUCCUAUGGAAAGUCUCCCGAAAAUACGGCCCAAUUAUGACUGUCCAUUUAGGUGCCACACCAUACGUCAUCAUCUCCUCAAGUGAAUUUGCAAACCAGGCCUUAAAAACUCACGAUCAAAUACUUUGUAACCGUCCACGUUCCAAGGGUUUCAAACGUCUAACUUUCGACUACAUGGACGUCGCUUUCUCCCCUCAUGCUGAUCAAUGGAAGGAGAUGCGAAAGGUUUUGGUAACCGAGUUCUUAGGUUCUAAGAGGAGUAGAUUGUUCAAAAAAGUGGUAGACACUGAGGUCAAGGGCAUGCUUGAUUCUUUCUCAUCACUAAAUACUACCAUUGACCUAGACGAGAGGCUCUUUCAUCUUGUAACCGACAUUGUUAGCAAGGUUGCAGUGGGUAAGAGCUACAGAGAAGAGACGUUUAGAGGUAAAAAAUUAAAAGAGAUGCUUGAUGAUCUGGUCAUCUCUCUUUGUGGCUCUGUUUCCGAUAUUUAUCCAGGUAGAUUAGGUUUGAUAUUAGACGAACUACUUGGGUUUAAUCGGAGGCUAGAAAAGACUUUCAGUAAUUUCGAUGCCUUCCUUCAAAUGGUUCUUGAUGAGCAUAUUGAUCAUACUGGAACAAGUGACCAUGAAAAAGAUAUGGUUGAUGCAUGCAGAUCUCAGUUGACUACAAACGAGAUGAAAGCCCUUUUGAUGGUAAAAACUUUUACUUUCCAUAUUUAGAGUUAUAUACUGUUUUUGGGUUUCAUGCAUUAAUUAAUAUUGUUUCUUAAAAAAGCAUAUAAAUGUAAGCUAACUCUUAUGAUCUUAAACUUAUAAUCAGAAUGUGCUAAAUGGAGCAAUUGAUACAACCACUACGACAAUGGUGUGGACAAUGUCUGAGAUUAUUAAAAAUCCUAGAGUUAUGAAAAAGCUACAGGAAGAAAUUCGAAGAUGCGUUGGAAGAAAAUCAAGCGUUGAGGAAGCGGAUGUCGCAAAUAUGCCAUACUUAAAGUUGGUUGUGAAGGAGGCGUUAAGAUUGCAUUCGACUGUUCCAUUCUUGCUUACAAGAGAAUGCGUAAAGCAUUGUCAGAUUGGUGGGUACGACAUCUUCCCAGGGACAAGAGUGUUGAUAAAUGCAUGGGGGAUAGGAAGGGAUCCAAAAGUCUGGACAGAGAGUGCAUCCAUCUUCAAUCCUGAGCGCUUAGAAAACCUUGAGUUGGAUCGUAGUGAGAUGAUUCCAUUUGGAGGGGGCAGAAGAGCUUGUCCAGCGGCAAGCGUUGCUACUCAGAUUGUGGAAUAUACGAUUGCAAACCUUUUUUACUCUUUUGAUUGGCAACUUCCAAGUGGAAUGAAGAACGAGGAACUUGACAUGGAAGAGGUUGGCUCCCUGAUCGUUGUUAGGAAAACGCCUCUUACCCUUGUGCCCGUGAAGUACGAUUGGCAAGACUAGUAAUCGUCGGUUUUCAAUGUUAAGAAGAUUUUGAAACUAAAAAAAAGAAGAUUUUGAAAGUAAUAUGCAUGUAAUAAUUUUAUUUGGAUAUACCUCAAUAAGUUCAUUGAAUAUGGGGUUGUGGAUUAGCUGCUAGAGGCAGGUGGAUCGAGUGUGGUGGGUUACUGUAUUUCCUUUUUAUAUUCUGUUUUUAUUACUUUACGAUAAAUUGCAUUGAUAAACUAAUUUGAAAUCAUUAGAACCUUGGUAUUAUUUAUUAAUGUUUUUGAGUUUGAAAUUUUUUUUAUAUUUAUAUGGUUGUAAUUUAUAUAUCAAUUAUUUAUUUAUUCAAAUGUUAUUGUAUUUUAAUUAUUAAAUAUUAUAACACAAAUAAUAUUAUUAAAUAAACAUUAUGAUUAUAUAAACAAUGAUCUAGAAAUGAAUAAAGUCAAAGUUAAAGCAUCAAUCUGUACCACUGAAACUUAAUAUAUCUAUUGUUAAUGAAUAGUAAAAAAAAUCAUAUUUAUUGAUAUACUAUUUAUCAACACUUUAGUGUGAUGUCGAAGCAAUUUAGUAGUGUAACUAUAUAUGUUUUUUUUUUCAUUCUUUUNAAAGUUAAAACAUCAAUUUGUACCACUGAAGCUUAAAAUAUUUAUUGUUAAUGAAUAGUAAAAAAAUCAUAUUUAUUGAUAUACUAUUUAUCAACACUUUAGUGUGAUGUCGAAGCAAUUUAGUAGUGUAACUAUAUAUGUUUUUUUUUUCAUUCUUUUCUCAAUGGCUCAUUCAAUUUUGAUUUUUUUAAAUCCAUUUAUCACCCUAUAAAUAUCAAACCAACCUAACUUAAUUUUUACACAUUUUUCUACAUAUUCUCUUAAUAAAACAAAAAAACCAAAAUGUCAUCUUCGUCCUCCGAUUCGACGGCUCAAGAAGAUGCAUUAUUUGUCGGUUCCAUCAUGACAAAAACUGUGGUGUAUUUCCAAAACCGUCAAGGUCAAAGUUCAUGUUCAUCACCUAAAACAAGAAAGCCACAGUUGUGGACAAAUCUUGAAGACAUUUACAAUAGUCUUAUAGAAGACUAUUUUGCAGAUGACGUUGUGUAUGCUGAAAAGUUUCGACGACAAUUACGGAUGAGGAAGGAGUUAUUUUUACGUAUUGUUGGCGAUUUGUAAGGCCGUUUUCCAUAUUUCCAAUGGAAUCGAGGUGCGAGACACAUAAAAGGUUUCUCUUUAAUUCAAAAAUGCACAACUACAAUUCGUUAGUUAGCAUACGACAAUGGCGUUGACAAAUGAGACGAGUAUUUGAGGAUGUAUGAGCGUACCAAACAGGAAAGUAUGUAAAAUUUCGCGAAAGCUAUUACUUUGGUUUAUGAACGGCGAUAUUUGUGCAAACCCACCAUCUACAAUGUCUACCAAUUGUACACGGUGCAUGAAAGUAAUUAUGGGUUCCCAAGAAUGGUAGGUAGUAUUGAUUGCAUGCAUUGGGAUUGGGCAUUGUGCCCCAACGCAUGGCAUGGUUAGUACAUGACAGGCGACCAUAGAGAACCAACGAUUGUUCUAGAAGCAAUCGGAUCACAUGAUCUUUGGAUAUGGCAUGCAUUCUUUCGUCUAGCCGGUGCAAAAAACGACAUCAAUAUUCUAAACUAGUUGUCAUUAUUCAACGACAUCUACCUUGGAAGGUCGCACGAUGUACCUUUUAAAGCAAAUGGGGUAGCAUAUAAGCGCGAGUACUAUCUUACUAACGAGAUAUAUCCUAUCUUAUCCGUUUUUAUGAAACUGUUCACAUGUCCGAACGAAGAAAAAAGAAAAAAGUUUAAACAUGCACAAGAGUCAGCUAGGAAGGAUAUGGAGCGAACAUUUGGUGUACUCAAGAGGCGUUGUCAAGUACUAACAGUCGGGGCAUGGUCAUAUGAAGUGAUAAGCUUGCAACACAUAAUGUAUGUGUGCAUUAGAUUAAAUAAUAUGAUUCUUGAAGAUAAAGGAAGAGUAAUAUGGCGAUACAACGAAAACAAAGUUUUGGCAAAUAUUGAAGGUGUAGCCGUUGGUACGCAAAAGUAUAGGACAAACAGAAGAGAAGUACAUGAUCACGACAUUUAUCACGCCAUUCGUCACUACUAGAAAAACAACCUUUUACGACGUGCAAUGCGUGUCGUAAAACGAUCAGACGACGCUCAAAUGCGUGUCAAGGAAGGCCCUAUCAUAACGAGAGACGACACGCGCGUCGUCCAUUUACAACACGCAAUUACGAAACACAUUUUCGACGCACGUUCACGAUACACAAUGCGUGUCAAGGAAGGCCCCGUCAUAAAGGAAGAUGACACACAUUUGUGUGUCGUAACCUUACGACGCGCGUUUAGGACACGCAUUGCGUAUCAUUAAAGCCCCUAUCAUAAAGAAACACGACACACGUUUUUAUGUGUCAUAAAGUUAAAUGUUUUAAAGUUAUAUAUUUUAACAGAUUUAGUAAUUUUCAAAUUAAAUAACACAUUAAAAAUCUCAUAAUACAAAAUAAAAUACCAUAAGUAACAAAGAUAAUUCAUUUCACUAAUAUGUCAAAUACAAAUAAUUAUUCCAAUAGUGAGUAAAUGUAAUAAAAAAAUGAACUCAAGAGAAGCGAAAUUUAUAUACAGUUGCAUUAUCUAGCUUAUUAUGUGCCAACAACUCUGUGUGUGUUUGCUUUUGCUUGAGUCUCCUUUCCUCCAUAGCUUCUAGCCAUGCCAAAGUAUGAUAUCUUAAGGUUCAUGUCCAAAUCAAGUAAAACAUUGCUAGCUUAAAUUCAUCAAGUCCUUGGCGUGAAGUCUUAGAUAGACGCUUAACUGCAAUCUCCAAUCCUUCUAGCAGACCCUAGAGAUCAUUAUUGGCCAUGUAGCAGGAUCAACCUCAGACAUAGAUAGUGUUUUGUUCACCGUUGUCUAAGGAAUUACCUCAGUUCCUGAAAUAAUAAUCUGGACAAUUUGAUCAAAUAAGCUUGUUUUUUCUUUUUCAAAAUAUUUCCAAUGGAGAAGGCAUUUGUAUAGGGUAAAUAGUGAAACAGGUUUGCCUUAACCUGCUAUUUAUACCAGCAUCUAGAUGACUCCACUGUCAAAAAACCAAUCUGCCCUUUACAGAUUUAGUGACUUUUUACUAAACAAAAUACUACAGAUCAACAAAGUAAAUAGAAAUUUAAAAAAAAUGGUAUUUGAGAUGCUAUUUGGAGUUCAAACAACCAUAAAGAUUACCUAUUAAGGAGUAACCAAAGGGGAAGCAAUAUAAAUCUUCAAAAUUGUUUGGCUUUACAACCUUCAUAAAGAACAUGGACAACAAAAAGUUAGAUACUAGAUACUAUUUGGAAUUGAAAUAUAAAUAUUUAUACAAAUGAUUACGAGGGGUAAACAUGUAAAAAUACCUCUCUCUCUAACUCAGAGAGUUAUUUCUUUAGCUUUUUAAGAGUGUCAGCACGAAUAUAUGAUUUCAAAUAAAUAUAAAAAACUGGCCAUUUUAAGUUUAUGUGGUUUUGGUUUAUUGACAAUUAAGAAAAUAUAAAAAGAGAGGGGCAUUAUAGUAAACUUACCUAUGGAAUUGAUAAGUGAGGAUACGAUGACCACUACACAUGCUUUACACAGUUACCAAUAGAAAGUGUAACCAGAGGUACCCUUUGCAGUAUCAUGUAAACAACCUGGGUAAAAAAAUUUAUCAAAUCAAAUUCACAAAAUUGGAUGAAAACAUUAAAGAAUGAAAGGGGAAUCCACCAAAGACGGUUAGUACUUUAUAAGUUAGGGAUUUGAAGGAUUUGAACUUUUUGAUAGUGGAGAGAUUCCAUGGAUCCACGUUUCUCAUCCAAUUUUGUGAACUUCCUGGAAAUAAACCAAUUGCCAACAUAGAAAGAAAUAAAUACAAUUUCCUAGAAAAUAAGAAAAGUACACAUAUAUUUUGUUCAUUCAAAGAAUCAAAUAGCUUUUUUAAAUUUAAAAAUAAAAUUAAAACAUUGUGAAGCAAUUCAAGAAAUGCACUUCUAGGGCCCGUUUUAUAUGGGACAAAAGAGUCCAAUUUUUAUUAUCACACUGCCAUUCAUUAGUCCAAGUCCAGAAUCCUACUCCAGUGUAUGUCAGGCACAGUACAAGGACGUGUAAACUGUAAUGUCAAAUUAAACAAACAGUUAGGGGCAAAGAUUGAGCUUCCAACUUCAGUAGUCAGAUUUGAGUGUAGCUGAAUAAUAUGAGUCAACCUUUUGUUCUCUAUUAGCUCAACUUGAUCCAUUUCAUCACUCUACUUAUAGCAUUCAUCAUGACAAAGACCGACUUUCCGUUUCUUAAAAACAACAACUAGAACUUGAAUGGACCCUGAAAACUGGCUCUUACCAACUUCAACUUUCAAAUAAAGAGGCUAUUACCAACUUCAACUUUCAAAUGGACCCUAAAAACAACUAGCAUACUUUUCUUAGUUUCUUUACCAUAGGCAUAACAUCCUACUUUAUUUUCUUCCUAUUAAGACAUUAUUAUACAUUCCAAAUGUAAACUUCUUUGAUUUUGGUUACCAAUUAUAGCACUAUACUUUCGGUUUUGUUCUUAUUAAGGCAUUGUACUUGGUAGUAGAGCACUGUUCUUUGUAUUAAGACAUUGUACUUUGACAGUCUAACAUAUUAAAACCUCGUACUAUGAUAUACAUUUCUUGUACUAUAUAUACAUGGAAGAUACCAUUUUAAACAAUUCAAAUAACACACAGAUAUCAACAGACUAGCAACAAAAAUCAUUGUUUUGCUCCAUAAAACGAUUAAAGAGCUACAAAAGAGUACACCAGGGGAUAACUUGCACAAAAAGAACUUUCAGAUCUGUUAUUCAUAACUUUGGCCAUCAGUUUGGGUGUCCAUCCACAAAACUCCAAAACAAGUAAAGCCUUGUAUGUUGACUUGAGAAAAGUUGUUAGGUCCUCUGUGGUUGAUAAAGACUUGAGGGGGAUUUACUUAGGAAAAAGUGACAUAAAAUGAAGCAAACAGGGGGUGAUUGAUCAAAUUUUUAUCAAAAAAACAUCUUAAGAAUAAAGAACAUAGGAAAAAAAUAGUAGGGGUAUUUUCGUCCUACAAUAGUGUAAAAAUCUACUUAGAAAACACAAAAUGAAGCAAACAUGGGUUGAUUGAUCAAUCAUAACUGACCUUAUCAUUGAUGGUGUGCAGCUGAAGUUUUUUAUCCCAUUUGGAAUUAUCUUCACUUUCCUUACGAUCCCAUAUACAAGACCAAAAUGAAAACAAAAAUUCCUAGCCUGUUGAUAGGCAUAACUCAAAGGUACUCGUCACCCUAAUACAAUAAAUUAUCUUCCAAGUUUUCAUGACUUUAGGAAUUUUAUGAGAUCGAAUGUAAAAGUUCUUGAGCACUUGUGGUGGAAAUAAAUAAGAAAAAUUCAUAUUAAUUCAUAUAAAAAUGAUGAAAGCUGAAAAAUGAUGAGUUCAUAAACCUGAAUAAAAAUGAUUGACGACGUAUGGUAUUUUCAGGGCCCCACCCACCCAUUCAUCCUCUCUGAAUAAGGGCUGAACCUGAAAUCCACUUUCACUCAACCCGAAAUCGGCUCCUUUAAAGGCACCGGUGGGAGGUACAUGUUAUCCCUAGAUCCUGAACUCCCACCGGAUUUCUUCCCGGAAUUCUUGCUCUUUCGUUCGCUGAUUUUCUUCCCUGUGCCACUCCGAUAAUGCAGACAUACCUGUGAGAGUCAGUCCUCGAAAAUUUUAGUCUCGGGUGAUUCGGAGGUGAGACCACCGGUAUAGGAAGAAUCAUCGAGCGUUGCUUUCGUUUUAAAGGAGAAGGUUGGGGGCAGCAGUGCGUGGGUCUGAGUGGGGACAGAGGGAGUGGUGAUGAGAACAGAGGGUUGGAGGACACCAUUGCUGAUAGAAGUAGAGCCUCUCCUUUAGUACUUGCACCGAUCGAAUAAUCCUAAGCAUAUGUCAUUUUCAUUUUGUGAGGGUUAGCGAGUCAGUUUCCUUGAGGCUGGGGUGAGAGAACUGCAAAUGGUGAUGGUGGAUGAAGUGUUGGUCGAUAAGUUCGGUACAUCGUCGUCGUGCAGGCCUGAAGAGUCGGUGUGGGUUGGAGGUAGGGGAGGUGGGUGAGGGGUGGAGACGAAGGAGAGGAGAUAUUAGAGAACAGAUCGUAACGAAUGUAGAAGAAGAAAGCAGGGUUUAAAUUUUUUGGGGAUUUCAUUUUCCCUCUAAGAGGAGAGACGUGUGUUUCUUAAAAAAUUAUAAAAUGACAUUCAUAGAUGACACACAUUUUAGAUAAAGUGCCCUCUGUAUUUUUAAUUUUUUUUUACAUGAGACACUAAUUUAAGGGCACACAAUAAUGUAUGACCUAAAUCCUUAAAUUUUUUUGAAGAAAUGACACCUUUUUAAUGUCACUCUCUUUUGCGUCACAUAAAUCAAUGAGUGUCGUGGUUUGCACGUAGUAAAAAGGUCUUUUUCAUGUAGUGCGUGCGGAUUUGGUGGAGCACGUUUUUAGGGCUCACAUACAGCCCCAUACAGAAUAUUAACACGAUGAUUUGUUUAACGAAUCGGAUGAAGAUUCAGAUAUGUUUGUCGAGGACUCGAACGAGAAUUCAGAUGACAAUGACGAGGAUCACGAUACGGGGAUCACGAUGAGGAGGGCGACAAUUCCAAGUGACGUAUUUUAUUUAUUUAUUUAUUUAUUAAAUCUUCACUGUUUUUUAUUUAUCCUUUUUCAAGUAAUGAAAUAUUUUAAUUUUAAUUAAUUUUUGUGUUUAUUAAUAUUUUUAAGAAAUUAUAUUUAUUUUUUGAUUUAUAAAUCUUAAUAAUCAAUUAGGUUUAUUUAAAAAAAUUAAAAGUAAAAGAUAGUGAAAUGUGAAAAUUUCAUACCUUUCGGCGAGUGAAAAAGAAGGAUAGAAAAACUGACCUCACAUUCACAAAGUAAAAUGAAAGAUGGUAUAUCCUCUAAUGUAAUGCUUAUAUUUUUUGCAGUGUAAAAAUAAGAUAGAUAAAGACAUGCACGCACAUACACACACUACAAGAAAACAGGCAAUUAGCGGCGACAAAAGUCGCCGGUAGAGGGUCCAAAUGUCAGCGGUAAUGGUAAUAGCGACGAAGACGUGUCGCUGGUAAUAAGUCGUUGUCACACCCCAAAACCAGGAAUGGCGGAAACGUUCCGGGGUGGAGGACAUCAUGUGAAGUAUCAUAACAGUGUAAAGUAUUAAACAAGCAACAACAUCAUCCAUUGCAUUAAAAGUAAAGUUCUAAUACAUGUGUGUUCCUUCAUGAUGUACAACAAUAAAAUGAAUAAUCGAAAUAAGAUGAGUCUUGUAUGUGCUCCGUCUUCUCAAAACCUGACCAUCGUACCUGUCUAACUGAUGACCUGAGAAUACAAGUUAUUUUGAAAGCGAGUAUCAGCCUAAAGCUGGUGAAUUCAUAAGUAUUUAAGUGUUAUUGUCUGGUUUUGGAAUGCUGUUAUGAAUGUCAUGUAAAUCUUUAAAUGGAACAGUUGAUAUAAGUAUGAAAUGUAGUCUUCUACCAAGACUCGAAUGUUUUUGUAAGUAAAAUGAUAGUUUUUCCUUCUUUUUGACUAUUACAAACAGUAAUUAGUCUAACUCAUCGUUUAUGUGAAUGUAUCACAAAAUCAAGUAAAAUAGGAAAAAGAUAUGAUAGUCUUCUACCAAGACCUGAAUGUUUUGCUAUGAAAAUGAUGGUUUUUCCUUCUUUUUGACUAUUAAAACAGUACUUAGUCUAACUCAUCGUUUAUGUGAAUGUAUCACAAAAUAAAGUAAAAUAGGAAAAAGAUAUGAUAGUCUUCUACCAAGACUUGAAUGUUCUGUUAUAAAAGUGAUAGUUUUUCCUUCUUCUUGACUAUCAUAAACAGUAAUUAGUCUAACUCAUCGUUUAUGUGAAUGUAUCACAAAAUAAAGUAAAUAAGAAAAAGUACUAAUGUAAGUGUUAUCCCGAGGUACUAGGGCUAACACGCCAUCGCGUAAGCGAAAUGUAUAACCUAUCACAAAAUGAAGUAAAUAGGAAAAAGUACUAAUGUAAGUGUUAUCCCGAGGUACUAGGGCUAACACGCCAUCGCGUAAGCGAAAUGUAUAACCUAUCACAAAAUGAAGUAAAUAGGAAAAAGUACUAAUGUAAGUGUUAUCCCGAGGUACUAGGGCUAACACGACAUAUGUAAAUGUUAUCCCGAGGUACUAGGGCUAACAUGACAUAUAUACCCUAAUGAACAUCCGAAGAUUGUCCAAUUGUCCUCUAUAGCAGCAGCAGGGUGGAGGAAGGGUUAGUCCCGUAACUGACUCCUAAUAUAAGUAAUAACCUUAGGCAUCCGUAAAUGUUCACGACCACUGGUGCUAAUCAGCUGGGAUUCGGAAUGGUUAGUCCCGUCUAGAUAUCCCAAGGGACUAGGGAUGGGCAGGACAAUUUAUACAGAAGGUACUAAUAUAUCAUCCUCGCAAAUCGAGAUACAAGUAUUCAUGUAAGUAUACACAGGAAAAAUGUAUCUACGUAAAGGUACUCAUGUAAUGUAUUCAUGUAUCAUGUAAGCAUAUGUAAACGUACUCAUGUAUCAUGUAAGCAUAUGUAAAUGUACUCAUGUAUCAGGUAAUGUACUGGUAUAGACUCAUGAAUGAACUGACUCUUGUGUGAUUCCUUGUAAUAGGAAUAAUGUUUUGUUUCUUCUAACUAUCCCUAUAAUAAUUAACUGGAAAGUAAUUGGUUGUUCAAGUAGAUUUAUGCACCCUCGUUACACCAGGGUGUGGGAAACUGAACGAAGGAUGAAAACUAUAACAUCAAUACAUAUAUAAGAACAUAUGCGUAUAAGUGUAGUUUUGCUCAAGAAGGUAAAAAUAAUGGUUUUGCAAGAUAUCUAAGAGUUUUGAACAAUAAUUAAGAGUGACUUGAUGUCAUUUUAAUAAACAUUUCAAAACUAAUACUUUUGUUAUCAAGGUAUUUUAAGAUAGAAAACCAUUUCAUGUAUCACAUUUUGAAGUAUGUGAAAUCUACUGGAUGAAAACACAGUUAUAAAAUACAUAAGAGUGAUUUAAUAACAUACUGUUUUCUACUUGUAUUCCCCCCAUUAAAGCAUUUAAAAUCAUUUAAAACAUUGAUUAAGGGGUAUGAACUCACCUGUUGUGAGUGGUUCUAGCGGGUACGUGUGUAGGGAUGAGAAGUUCCACGAAUGAAGUCCCGAGACACAAUAAGUCCUAAAUGACAUAUAAGGACACAUAUUGACAUGAAUAUAGUGUUUAUAACAUCUAUAUGAAAGGAAACACCUUCCGGGACUAGGUAACACCUUGACCAAGUGUUGGAAUCACAUGUGAUUCAACAUAAGAAGGUAUAAAGGCACUCACAUGAGUUUACUACCAUGAGUUCAUGGCCCAAGGGAGUUUACGGCCGUAAACUCAUGGUUACUCAUGUGGGAAUGCAAGUUUGAAGGCUAGGGAAUGAUUUAGGGACAUUAGCUCUAACCUAGGAUGAAGAAAACCCACUUUCUUUGAAGUUCUAAGGAGUUCACGGCCCAAUUGAGUUUACUACCAUAAACUCAUGGUCAUUUAUGUUUAUGAGGGUCCUAAAGGUCAUAAGGAAGCAUUCUAAUUUCAAGCCUAAGCCUUUGGAAGUGUUUGUGGCAUCAAAACAUCCCUAACUUGAGUUUACGGCCCAUGGACCAUUUGGUCAUGUGUUUGCGGCUGUAAACACUCAUGGGUGUUGAUAUUUUCAUUGUUUUGGGUCCUAGACACAUCAAGGUAAAGUGUUAUGUUUGUCUCUUGGCUUAAUGAAGGUAUUUAGGGCACUUUGGCACCCUAAUAUGGAGUUCACGGCCCAAGAACUUCCUUGGGCGUGAACACCAUUUCCUUGGUGUUUUGAGGUUGCUUUCUAUCCCUAAACUCAUUAGUGUACAAGUCCAAACUAGUGUCAUAGCUUAAGGAAGGACUAGGCAGCAUUUGGCCCUUAAAAAGGAGUUUACUCCCCAAGGUGUUCUUGGGCGGUAAACUCUCAAAUCUUGUUGUUUUGUUAUGAUUUUGUGGUCUAAACAUGUAAUGGUAGCUUCUAAGUCCAUUUCCAAGGCUAUGAGGGACAUUGGGCAAACUUUGGCCCUUAUAAAGGAGUUUACUCUCCAAGUGUUCUUGGGCGGUAAACUCCCAAAUCUUGGGAUUUUGAUCCGAUUUUGAUGUUAUAAGCACAAUCUAAGCUAUAUAAAACAACUAGAGAGGGGUACUCACGAUUUGGGAUAAAAACCCGAAGAUCCGUGAGAGAGAGAAAAUGGCUUUUCUCUAGUUGGAAAUGUAACUAAUGAAUGAAUAUGGCUCAGAUUUCUAUAUAUAGUCCUGAUAUUUUUGGCAGAAAAUAUUUUAUUCCCGGAAUGAACUCUAAUAUCAUAGAGUAUUGGAAUAACAGUGUUGCACAAAACCCUAGUGCAUCCACUCUCCUGAUAUCUCCUUAAGUGUUAAACCUGAAAUACUCAAACUUAUACCCAAAGUCUGGAAUUUCUCUGUAACUGUUCUAACUUCUAUUGGCUUGAUAUGGUUUGUUCAGAAUGGAAAUUUCGGGUUGUCAUAGUCGUCACUACUGCUUUGUCGUUAUUGAUCAGAUUGUCGCCAUUAAAGAGAAAUGUCGCAGCUAAUGCUCCUGUCGCCGGUAAUACUUCGUGUCGCCGCCAAUGCUCUGCUGCCGAUAAUAACAUUUUCCAUUUUUUAAUUUUUUUUAAUCAACAAUUUUGGGUAUAAAAAACCAAUACAUAACAACGUUAAAAAAAAGAAAAAUUACAUAACAACAUCCGAUUAAAUCUUGGUUUUGCCGGAGGGGGCUGCUUGUGAAUCGACGAAGAAGAUGAAAGAAAAAAUGUAGCUGCAGCGAGAUGGAAGCGAACAAAAGAGAAAAGGAAAAUGGUGUCGAUGUUUUUUGGUUAACUACAUCAAACUUUAGCGGCGACAGCUUUACCGGCAACAACUUUAGUUUUAGCCGCGACUUCUAUCAAUAGCGGCGACACUAACGAGGGUAUUAUUGUCGCGUCAUUUAUUCGAGAAUUAACGGUGACUCAGUUAGGUCUUUAGCGGCGACUUUUGUCGCCGAUAUUUCUUUUGUGCGUUCCGCGUGUACCCUAGCCGUUGGAUAAACAUGAUCGAACAGUCUUAAUUUACCAGAACGUAAAAAUACGGAUCCAUGUCGUGGGCCAUUAGCGGCGACACAAAUAGUGACGACGUCCACAUUUAGCGACGACAAUUUGAUAUGUUGCCAUUAAAUGUAGGUGUCGCCGCUAAUGAUUGUAUUUCUUGUAGUAAAAAAAAUAAAAACAUUGCUCACCAAAAAAUGUUCACUAGAUAUGCAUAAGCGAAUUGUUUAAAAUCGGAAAAAAAAUCCUAACAUAUUUGAGCUUUUACUAUCGUUAAGCUACAUAAUUUUAUUCGUGCUACUUAUUAACGCAUUUUAAUUUCAUCAUUUUCAAGAUUGGUACCUACAAUUUAUCCAACAAACAAUUGAGUUUGUGGUGCCAAGCAAUUACUAUAAAUUUGUAACCAUUGGAAAAUUAAAUAAAUCAUCAACUAUGUGGUACGAACAGGGGCGGCUUAAUCAAUUUAGGGGCCCUAAGCGAACGAAAAUUUUGGGACCCUUUUUACUCACAUUUUACUGCAUUAAAAGUUAUCCUAGUUGUAACUUUGUAACCUCAUUGACUUCUCAACGAGGACCUAAACACAAUCAAUAUAUUUAGUGUAGAGAUUAUUAAGCUUAAACUAAAAUUUAGCAUCUUCCAAUUUAUAACACCAGAUUAAAUAAUUAUGUACAUUAACUUAUGUUCAUUUUUUAGAAUACGUAAUUCAAGUUAGUUAAAUUUUAAUUAGAAUAUUGGAUACAACUAAUGUGCCUAGGUAAUAACAGAUGUAAUCUUUGUUCUCAAGAAUGUUUUCAAAUUCACUUCAUUACAUGUCAACUGAAACAUAAUAUUUCACAAAUUUAAAAUGCAUUAUGUUUUCACAAAAGAAUGAUGUUUGUGAUUCAAUUACCAUACCCUUAACUUAACUGGACAUGUUGGUGUUGUGAGCUCCAACCAAAAUGAAACCUGAGAUAUAAAAUUGAAUGUUGAGUGAGGUUAAAAGAAACUUUAUGUAUAGUCUCUAUGGAACUCAUUACAUUCUAUUCUAAAACACCUCUCCUAAAGCAUAAUCGACAUGUAAGUCCUUCACAAAUCCACAUGAGAAUGUCAGUCCCAAAGUUUGCAUCAAUAAUAUGAGAUAAGGCUUUUAACACAUCAGUUUACAGCUUCUAUUGUCAAUAAUGAUGAAGCAUAAGCUACAAACAACACAGUAAGAUAUGCAUAUUAGAAUCUGAUCGUAAGCUAUAUAGUUGUCAAUAAUCAAAUCUCUACUAUUUACUGAAAAAUCAAAGGUUUGAUGCUGAACUUGAAACUUAUUAGUGCCAUUUAGUGGUUUGGCUAACACAACACGUAGUAAGUAAUGAAUAAGCCUUUAACCCGAACCUUAUUUGAACAAAUUUAACUCUUAAUUUAACUUUUAAUAAAAGGAAAAGCUAGUUUAACCCUCUGAAAUCACUUUGUUUCAACAUUUAUCCACUUGAUUACCUUAAAGGAAAGUUAAAUUAAUUUUCACAAGCAAAUUCCAAGCACAAAAAUGAGUAAAAAUCGCACUCACCUUCAAGAUGUCACAUUGUUGUACAAUUCCUCAGGAGCGAAGAGACUCAUUAAUGGCAAUUGGCAGAUUGCAGAAUACGUCUCUCUAUAAAAUUUCCACAUAAAAUUAGAGUUUCUCCACUUCAAAUAUCCAACAUAAGCUUAAUAGACUAAUCGUGAAAGAAGAAUAAAAAUGGAGAAUAAGAGAAAGAAGAACAUACCGUUUUAGACUUUCAGUUCUUGUCUUCUUCACAGCUGAGAGUUUUCAGUUUUUACUUUUAAUUUUUGAACAAUCAACAAUGGAGAAUCGGGGGAAGAAGAAUAGAAUUGAGAAUCAAAUAAUCAAGACUCGAUCAAUAUUCAAUCGAUUGCUGAGAAUCAAUAAUCAAAGAAUCGAAGGAAGAUGAACAAUCGCUCACUUGUUGAUGAUUUUGUGGCGUGUGCGAAUUGAGAAGGAAGACUAAUCGAGAUUUGCUUAGGGUUAAAUGGGGCCCUUUAGAACUCAGGGCCCUAAGCAAGGGCUUAGUUAACAUAAAGGUAAGGCCGGCCCUGGGUACGAAGCAAUAUAAUUUAUAUUAAUUUACAAAUUCAUAGUAAAUAUAUUCACAUAUUCAACAUUGUAAGGGAAGGAGAUGGCGGCUGGCACGUCAUAAACAUUUUUUUAUUUUAAAAUGAGCUGAUGGAUUGUCAUCUUAGGCUCCAUUAUAAAUGAAGGUGCAUGGAUUCCAUUAACUUCCAAACAAACACAACAAAGAGAAAAACCCAUUGAUAUGGAUAUUUUCGCUUUCUUCCCUUCAUCCCUUUAUUCAUCAAUAUCAAUUCUCUUAUUUUCUUCGAUCUUCAUAUAUGCCCUGCGAUGGAUGAAAACAUCCAAGGCUGCCCCUAACCUUCCCCCUAGCCCUCCUAAGCUUCCGAUAAUAGGAAACUUGCAUCAAGUGAUAGGUAAAAACUUCCAUCAGAUCCUAUGGAAAGUCUCCCGAAAAUACGGC